rnacentral:rRNA from 1 species
AUGAAGAUGAGCCGGCAAUGGAUGUACGAUGACCGAUGCUCUCCCCAGUUCGUUGAGGGCGUGCAUACUUUUCUGCUUGCGGCUAAGGCAAACAAGCGGGCGGAUGGUUUUAUGCCUUGUCCAUGUGCUCGCUGUAAGAAUGGUCACAAUUACUCUACGUCAAGAACCAUUCACGUCCACCUGUUUAAGUCCGGUUUCAUGCCCCAUUAUAAUGUUUGGACCAAGCACGGAGAAAGAGGGGUUAUGAUGGAAGACAAUGAAGAAGAAGAGGACGACGACAGCUAUCCUGGCCAUGGGUUCCCUGAAUACGAUGAUACAACAAUGGGCGAAGAAGCUGAGCCAGUAAUGCGGGAAGAAGCUGAGCCGGCAAUGCGGGAAGAAGCUGAAGAAGAGGCAUCAGAUGAGCCCGUUGAUAAUCUAGGUCGGGCCAUUGCCGAUGCAAAGAGAAACUGUGCAAGUAAUUUGGAGAAGAAGAAGUUGCAGCGCAUGUUAGAGGAUCACAAAAAAGUACUGUACCCGAAUUGCGUAGGUGACAAGAAAAAGUUGGGCACCACACUGGAAUUGCUGCAAUGGAAGACAGAGAAUGGUGUAUCUAACAAAGGAUUUGGAAAGUUGCUGGUAAUGAUAAAGGAUAUGCUUCCAAAGGACAACGAAUUGCCCGAGAGUACGUACGAAGCAAAGAAGGCUGUCUGCCCUCUAGGGUUAGAGGUGCAGAAGAUA